rnacentral:rRNA from 1 species
AUUGAACGCUGGCGGCAGGCCUAACACAUGCAAGUCGAGCGAGUGGCGGACGGGUGAGUAAUGUAUGGGGAACUGCCCGAUAUAGGGGGAUAACUACUGGAAACGGUAGCUAAUACCGCAUACUAUCGGAUGACCCCAUAUGGGAUUAGCUAGUAGGUGGGGUAACGGCGCACUUAGGCGACGAUCUCUAGCUGGUCUGAGAGGAUGAUCAGCCACACGGGGACUGAGACACGGCCCAGACUCCUACGUGAGGCAGCAGUGGGGAAUAUUGCACAAUGGGCGCAAGCCUGAUGCAGCCAUGCCGCGUGUAUGAAGAAGGCCUUAGGGUUGUAAAGUACUUUCAGCGGGGAGGCGUUACCCGCAGAAGAAGCACCGGCUAACUCCGUGCCAGCAGCCGCGGUAAUUC